rnacentral:rRNA from 1 species
UACGGGGGGAGCAAGCGUUGUUCGGAAUUACUGGGCGUAAAGCGCACGUAGGCGGCUUUGCAAGUCGGGUGUGAAAUCCCCGGGCUCAACCUGGGAACUGCAUCCGAGACUGCUUUGCUCGAGUAUGGGAGAGGGAAGUGGAAUUUCCGGUGUAGCGGUGAAAUGCGUAGAUAUCGGAAGGAACAUCAGUGGCGAAGGCGACUUCCUGGACCAAUACUGACGCUCAGGUGCGAAAGCGUGGGGAGCAAACAGG